rnacentral:rRNA from 1 species
CCCGCUGCUCUUAAGCAUAUCAAUAAGCGGAGGAAAAGAAACUAACAAGGAUUCCCCUAGUAACUGCGAGUGAAGCGGGAAGAGCUCAAAUUUAAAAUCUGGCCGCCUUUGGUUGCCCGAGUUGUAGUCUGGAGAAGCGUUUUCCGUGUUGGACCGUGUACAAGUCUCUUGGAACAGGGCGUCAUAGAGGGUGAGAAUCCCGUCUUUGACACGGACUACCAAUGCUUUGUGAUGCGCUCUCAAAGAGUCGAGUUGUUUGGGAAUGCAGCUCAAAAUGGGUGGUAAAUUCCAUCUAAAGCUAAAUAUAGGCGAGAGACCGAUAGCGAACAAGUACCGAGAGGGAAAGAUGAAAAGCACUUUGGAAAGAGAGUUAAACAGUACGUGAAAUUGCUGAAAGGUAAACGCUUGAAGUCAGUCAUGUUCAUAGACACUUACAAUUGCUUCUGCUUGGUGCACAUCCUGGACACACCCGUCACCAACCAUUUUGAAUCGUGCAGAAAGAGUUUCGGAAUGUGGCAAGUUGGGGUGUGUCAUAUCCCAUUGUUGUAUCUGGUGCUCGCGAUUUAGGACUGAAGCCCGCCUUUAUCGGCGGGGUUCUGUCAUGUACGUUCUUAGGAUGUUGGCGUAAUGGCUUUAAGCGACCCGUCUUGAAACACGG